UAGACAAAUAAUUGAAUUGUCAAAGCAAAUAAAAAAUGCACAGGACAAAUGUCACAGUCAAAGUCGUGAGGAAACACAAUCAGUGACAUUAUAUGUUGUUCUUCUCCUUUCAUUUCACAGGAACAGACACACAACCUUCAGUCCAAGAUCACAUCCCAGUAUGCUGAACUGCACCAGAUUCUCACUGAGAAAGAGCAGCGCGCACUGGCAGAUAUCCGGGAGGAAGAGAAGAAGAUUCUAAAUACAAUGGUGAAAAAUCUUGGAAAGAUUCAAGAUAAUUUAGAUUCCAUUCAUGAGGAACUCUUAAAGUUGCAGCAACAGAUGGAUCAAAAAGACAGUGUGGUGUUUCUGAAGGAGGAAGCUGCUCGCAAGCAAAGGUAGGACAUUGUCUUGAUGGAAACAUUGUACGUUUUUGUGGAACAACUCAAAACAUUUCUAAAGCUCAGUUUAUAACCAGCUGUUAAAUAUUUCCAGGGUUCAUGAUGAAGCCAAACCACUGUGGGUGGUAGAUGAAGCCUUGCCGAUUGAAAAGUUUAAUUGCCCUGUUUCGUUCAACUUAACAUUCAAAGAAAUCUCUGAUGACUUCAAGCCAGUCUCCGUCACCCUGGAUGUGGAAACAGCGCAUCCGUGGCUCGAGG